rnacentral:rRNA from 1 species
CCAGAGAACUUAGCAGAGAUGCUUUGGUGCCUUCGGGAACUCUGAGACAGGUGCUGCAUGGCUGUCGUCAGCUCGUGUUGUGAAAUGUUGGGUUAAGUCCCGCAACGAGCGCAACCCUUAUCCUUUGUUGCCAGCGGUCCGGCCGGGAACUCAAAGGAGACUGCCAGUGAUAAACUGGAGGAAGGUGGGGAUGACGUCAAGUCAUCAUGGCCCUUACGAGUAGGGCUACACACGUGCUACAAUGGCGCAUACAAAGAGAAGCGACCUCGCGAGAGCAAGCGGACCUCAUAAAGUGCGUCGUAGUCCGGAUUGGAGUCUGUAACUCGACUCCAUGAAGUCGGAAUCGCUAGUAAUCGUGGAUCAGAAUGCCACGGUGAAUACGUUCCCGGGCCUUGUACACACCGCCCGUCACACCAUGGGAGUGGGUUGCAAAAGAAGUAGGUAGCUUAACCUUCGGGAGGGCGCUUACCACUUUGUGAUUCAUGACUGGGGUGAAGUCGUAACAAGGUAAGCGUAGUGCU